UACGAAGGGGGCGAGCGUUGUUCGGAAUCACUGGGCGUAAAGGGCGCGUAGGCGGCCCUCUUUGUCGCGUGUGAAAGCCCCGGGCUCAACCUGGGAACGGCGCGCGAAACGGGGGGGCUGGAGUUCGGGAGAGGAGAGUGGAAUUCCCAGUGUAGAGGUGAAAUUCGUAGAUAUUGGGAAGAACACCGGUGGCGAAGGCGGCUCUCUGGGACCGAGACUGACGCUGAGGCGCGGAAAGCGUGGGGAGCAAACAGG
rnacentral:rRNA from 1 species